rnacentral:rRNA from 1 species
CUACGGGCGGCUGCAGUAAGGAAUAUUGCGCAAUGGAGGCAACUCUGACGCAGCCAUGCCGCGUGCAGGAAGAAGGCCUUAUGGGUCGUAAACUGCUUUUAUUUAGGAAUAAACCCCCGAACGUGUUCGGGGCUGAAGGUACUAAACGAAUAAGCACCGGCUAACUCCGUGCCAGCAGCCGCGGUAAUACGGAGGGUGCAAGCGUUAUCCGGAUUUAUUGGGUUGAAAGGGUGCGCAGGCGGGCUAUUAAGUCAGUGGUGAAAUCCCGGGGCUCAACUCCGGAACUGCCAUUGAUACUGAUAGUCUUGAGUUUGGUUGAAGUGGGCGGAAUGUAGCAUGUAGCGGUGAAAUGCAUAGAUAUGCUACAGAACACCAAUCGCGAAGGCAGCUCACUAAGCCAAAACUGACGCUCAUGCACGAAAGCGUGGUGAUCAAACAGGAUUAGAUACCCCCGUAGUC